GUGCUGGCUUCGGCAGCACAUAUACUAAAAUUGGAACGAUACAGAGAAGAUUAGCAUGGCCCCUCCGCAAGGAUGACACGCGAAUUUGCGAAGUGUUCCGUAUUUUC
ensembl:snRNA U6 U6 spliceosomal RNA